AUACGAAGGUCCCAAGCGUUAUUCGGAAUCACUGGGCGUAAAGAGUACGUAGGCGGUUUGGUAAGUCAGGUGUGAAAUCCCGAAGCUAAACUUCGGAACUGCAUCCGAUACUGCCAGACUAGAGUAAUGGAGAGGCAGGUGGAAUUCUCGGUGUAGCAGUGAAAUGCGUGGAUAUCGAGAGGAAGACCAAUGGCGAAGGCAGCCUGCUGGACAUUUACUGACGCUGAGGUACGAAGGCUAGGGUAGCAAACAGGAUUAGAAACCCCAGUAGUCC
rnacentral:rRNA from 1 species